rnacentral:rRNA from 1 species
UACAUAGGUCUCAAGCGUUGUUCGGAUUCAUUGGGCGUAAAGCGUCCGUAGGUGGCACUUCAAGUCUGCGGUCAAAGACCGGGGCUUAACCCUGGAAAGGCCGUGGAAACUGAAGUGCUAGAGUGCAGUAGGGGUAGAGGGGAUUCCCGGUGUAGCGGUGAAAUGCGUAGAGCUCGGGAAGAACAUCGGUGGCGAAAGCGCUCUACUGGACUGCAACUGACACUGAGGGACGAAAGCUAGGGGAGCGAAUGGG